AUACUUACCUGGAUGGGGUCGAUGGGUGAUCAAGAAGGCCUAUGGCCUAGGUUGGUGACUUCCAUUGCACUUGGGAUGGGUGCCCACCUAAGGUCUCCCCAAGUGGGAGAGCCUACAUCAUAAUUUAUGGUAGUGGGGACUUGCGUUCGCGCAGCCCCCUA
rfam:Glycine soja cultivar W05 scaffold1357_37, whole genome shotgun sequence.